UGGCUGUGUGCCUAAUACUGCAUGUCGAAUCCGCACUUGUGCUUAGUGGCAAAUGGGUGACCAACACGUACUUAAUCUACCCCCAAGUUUGGGAUAACAGUUGGAAACAAUUGCUAAUACCCAAUACAUAUAAGUUUUGCAUAAUUCUUAUAUAAAAGGAGCGUUUGUUUCGCUAGGGGAUGAGAGUGCGCUACAUUAGUUAGUUGGUAGGGUAAGAGCCUACCAAGACUAUGAUGUAUAGCGGGGCUGAGAAGCUGAACCGCCACACUGGGACUGAGAUACGGCCCAGACUCCUACGGGAGGCAGCAGUAGGGAAUAUUCCACAAUGAGCGAAAGCUUGAUGGAGCAACACAGCGUGUAUGAAGACGACCUUACGGUUGUAAACUGCUGUUAUGAGGGAAGAAAAAUAAAAUUAGGAAAUGAAUUUUACAUGACGGUACCUCAUCAGAAAGCACCGGCAAACUAUGUGCCAGCAGCCGCGGUAAUACAUAGGGUGCAAGCGUUAUCCGGAAUUAUUGGGCGUAAAGUGUCUGUAGGUGGUAUGUUAAGUCUAGUGUUAAAGACUAGGGCCCAACCCU
rnacentral:rRNA from 1 species